AGGGAAUCUUCCACAAUGGACGAAAGUCUGAUGGAGCAACGCCGCGUGAGUGAUGAAGGUUUUCGGAUCGUAAAACUCUGUUGUAAACCGCUUUCAGCAGGGACGAAGGGUUUCUGACGGUACCUGCAGAAGAAGCACCGGCUAACUACGUGCCAGCAGCCGCGGUAAUACGUAGGUGGCAAGCGUUGUCCGGAAUUAUUGGGCGUAAAGCGCGCGCAGGUGGUUUCUUAAGUCUGAUGUGAAAGCCCACGGCUUAACCGUGGAGGGUCAUUGGAAACUGGGAGACUUGAGUGCAGAAGAGGAAAGUGGAAUUCCAAGUGUAGCGGUGAAAUGCGUAGAGAUUUGGAGGAACACCAGUGGCGAAGGCGACUUUCUGGUCUGCAACUGACGCUGAGGCGCGAAAGCAUGGGGAGCAAACA
rnacentral:rRNA from 1 species